UACGGAGGAUGCAAGCGUUAUCCGGAUUUAUUGGGUUUAAAGGGUGCGCAGGCGGACUAAUAAGUCAGUGGUGAAAUUUACAUGCUUAACAUGUGACGUGCCAUUGAUACUGUUAGACUAGUAUACAAAUGACGUAGCUGGAAUGUGUUAUGUAGCGGUGAAAUGCAUAGAUAUAACACAGAACACCGAUCGUGAAGACAGGUUACGAAUUUGUGAUAGACGCUCAUGCACGAAAGCGUGGGGAUCAAA
rnacentral:rRNA from 1 species